rnacentral:lncRNA from 1 species
UAUCUAUAUAUAUAUAUAUGUCUAUAUAUAUAUAUAUCUGUGUGUGUGUGUGUGUGUACAUAUAUAUAUGUGUGUGUGUAUAUAUAUGUGUGUGUGUAUAUAUGUAUAUAUAUGUGUAUAUAUGUAUAUAUAUGCGUAUAUAUGUGUAUAUAUGUGUGUGUGUGUGUGUGUGUGUCUGUGUGUGUGUUUGUGUAUUUACGAGUUAUGGAUUGAUAAAAACAUAGUUUACAAUAUUUCAAAGAGGUGGGGUGAUCAUGUAUCUGCAGAAAAGUACUCUAUCAAGUUGAGGUCUUCGAUUGAAUCGUGUUAUCCUUUCAUUUUCUUUUCCUUUUCUCUUUUUGUGAAAUACGAUGGGAAUGCCACCACCAAUGUUUAGACCUUGGACCUCUCCUGAGAGAGUUUUUGGUAGAAGGUUUGCCACAUAAUGGACCCAAGUCCUAUUGCUGAAUAGUGUUCCUCUUAUUUGCUAUCCUAAGUAGACAAAUCGACGUAAGUGUUUCUAUUGUAGUUCAAGGCAUCUUUGUAACUGAAAAUGUAAAAUUCUUGAAGGGAGAUAUGCUCAUCUUUGAUGAAAGUAGAAAAUAAUUUUGGUUUCAGGGAGAUUGUUUCUGACAACCUUGACUAUUGGUAGAUAUAUUGAUUUAACACCAUUUAAAUGUGAUCAAUGGGUUUGUUUUGCACCACGAAAAUAACGUUUGGACAUUGGAUCCUCAUUGAUAGAUUUGAAGGAAAAAAAUCCAUCAAGAUUCUUUUGGGCAUAGCUGCAAAUUACACAAUUUUGAUUUAGUACAUAUGAAGACACAAUCACUCAUUUUACAUGGGCAUAGCAGAAGCUCUCAAGAAACAAUAAAAUAAUCUACAUUUUCCACUAUAAUUUUUAUGUUUAGACAAUUCAGUCGUGAGCCCGGAAAGAUUAUUCUUAUCACAUAUGUAUAUUCAGAG